rnacentral:rRNA from 1 species
GACGAACGCUGGCGGCGUGCUUAACACAUGCAAGUCGAACGGAAAGGCCCUGCUUUUGUGGGGUGCUCGAGUGGCGAACGGGUGAGUAACACGUGAGUAACCUGCCCUUGACUUUGGGAUAACUUCAGGAAACUGGGGCUAAUACCGGAUAGGAGCUCCUGCUGCAUGGUGGGGGUUGGAAAGUUUCGGCGGUUGGGGAUGGACUCGCGGCUUAUCAGCUUGUUGGUGGGGUAGUGGCUUACCAAGGCUUUGACGGGUAGCCGGCCUGAGAGGGUGACCGGCCACAUUGGGACUGAGAUACGGCCCAGACUCCUACGGGAGGCAGCAGUGGGGAAUAUUGCACAAUGAGCGGAAGCCUGAUGCAGCAACGCCGCGUGCGGGAUGACGGCCUUCGGGUUGUAAACCGCUUUCGCCUGUGACGAAGCGUGAGUGACGGUAAUGGGUAAAGAAGCACCGACUAACUACGUG